AGACAGCUACAGUGUACUCAUAUGUGUGUGUGUGUGUGUGUGUGUGUAUGUAUAUACAUACACAUAGAUACACACACAAAUAUAUAUGUACACAUAUGUACACAUAUA
ensembl:miRNA Gm22859 predicted gene, 22859